AAAUAAGAAGUAAUAAAUACAUAUUAAUUUCGACUUAAUAAAACUGAUAAAAUAAUAUCCUUAUUUU
rnacentral:tRNA from 1 species